UGGGGAAUAUUGCACAAUGGGCGAAAGCCUGAUGCAGCAACGCCGCGUGAGUGAUGAAGGUCUUCGGAUUGUAAAGCUCUGUCUUUUGGGACGAUAAUGACGGUACCAAAGGAGGAAGCCACGGCUAACUACGUGCCAGCAGCCGCGGUAAUACGUAGGUGGCGAGCGUUGUCCGGAUUUACUGGGCGUAAAGGGUGCGUAGGCGGAUGUUUAAGUGAGAUGUGAAAUACCCGGGCUUAACUUGGGUGCUGCAUUUCAAACUGGAUAUCUAGAGUGCAGGAGAGGAGAAUGGAAUUCCUAGUGUAGCGGUGAAAUGCGUAGAGAUUAGGAAGAACACCAGUGGCGAAGGCGAUUCUCUGGACUGUAACUGACGCUGAGGCACGAAAGCGUGGGUAGCAAACAGGAUUAGAUACCCUGGUAGUCCACGCCGUAAAACGAUGAGUACUAGGUGUAGGAGGUAUCGACCCCUUCUGUGCCGCAGUAAACACAUUAAGUACUCCGCCUGGGAAGUACGAUCGCAAGAUUAAAAACUC
rnacentral:rRNA from 1 species